rnacentral:rRNA from 1 species
CGCGUGAGGGAUGACGGCCUUCGGGUUGUAAACCUCUUUCAGCAGGGAAGAAGCGCAAGUGACGGUACCUGCAGAAGAAGCGCCGGCUAACUACGUGCCAGCAGCCGCGGUAAUACGUAGGGCGCAAGCGUUGUCCGGAAUUAUUGGGCGUAAAGAGCUCGUAGGCGGUCUGUCGCGUCUGGUGUGAAAUCCCGAGGCUCAACCUCGGGCUUGCAUCGGGUACGGGCAGACUAGAGUGCGGUAGGGGAGACUGGAAUUCCUGGUGUAGCGGUGGAAUGCGCAGAUAUCAGGAGGAACACCGAUGGCGAAGGCAGGUCUCUGGGCCGCAACUGACGCUGAGGAGCGAAAGCAUGGGGAGCGAACAGGAUUAGAUACCCUGGUAGUCCAUGCCGUAAACGUUGGGCACUAGGUGUGGGGCUCAUUCCACGAGUUCCGUGCCGCAGCUAACGCAUUAAGUGCCCCGCCUGGGGAGUACGGCCGCAAGGCUAAAACUCAAAGGAAUUGACGGGGGCCCGCACAAGCGGCGGAGCAUGCGGAUUAAUUCGAUGCAACGCGAAGAACCUUACCAAGGCUUGACAUGUACGAGAACACGCUAGAGAUAGCGGACUCUUUGGACACUCGUACACAGGUGGUGCAUGGUUGUCGUCAGCUCGUGUCGUGAGAUGUUGGGUUAAGUCCCGCAACGAGCGCAACCC